ACCUGGGGCCGUAUUAUGAACUCUUAUUCCCAUUCAGUUUACGGCUUAAACUGAACUGCCUGGCGAUUUCGUAUUACGAACGCUAUUAGCCAGCCAGUCAGCGGUCACGUGACAGCUGAACGUCUUCUGCCCGAAAACUGACCGGCUAUUUCGUAUUAUGAGCGUUUCAUUUGACAGAUCUAAGCGGACGCAACUGUCAAAAAGACCGUUUAAAAACAAUUCAGUUUACGGUGGCUUCAUAUUAGCUUUUAUAGAAUUGUUUUCUAAUUUAUAGCUUCAUUAUUGUAAUUUGGUUAUUAUUUCUAUUUCUAUGUCAGUUUUUAUUAUGUUUAAAACAUGUUUGUGCAGUUAUUUCGAUUGUUUUUGUUUCGUUUUAAUUUUAAUUAUGUGUGAUGAACUCGAAGUAUUGGAGUUUUUGGAAAUGUGUGCACCCUACGAAAAAGAAGUAAGGAAAGUGAAAAGACGGUGAUUACGCGACCAAUCCAAUCAAAAUGAACAAUUUAGAAAACGUUAUAAUCUAAAUAAAGAUUUGGUGCGUAAUAUGCGUGCGAACUCAUAUGCCGGUAUCAUCGAAAUUUACAGACCUACCAGUGGAAACUAAGGUUUUAUAAUUGGAAUUUGGAAUGCUGGGUGUAUUGGGCUGUAUUUGACUGUACACAUGCCACCCCAUUGUAAAUUAAGAAGAGAUAUUACUGUAGAAAACAAUACCAUUCAUUAAAUAUAUAAUUGGUUAGUAAUGCUGACAUGGAGAUUAUAAGUGUGGAUGCCAACUGGAACUGGAGCUACUCAUGACAUUUGGGCAAAGCA